GACGAACGCUGGCGGCGUGCUUAACACAUGCAAGUCGAACGGAAAGGCCCUGCUUUUGUGGGGUGCUCGAGUGGCGAACGGGUGAGUAACACGUGAGUAACCUGCCCUUGACUUUGGGAUAACUUCAGGAAACUGGGGCUAAUACCGGAUAGGAGCUCCUGCUGCAUUGUGGGGGUUGGAAAGUUUCGGCGGUUGGGGAUGGACUCGCGGCUUAUCAGCUUGUUGGUGGGGUAGUGGCUUACCAAGGCUUUGACGGGUAGCCGGCCUGAGAGGGUGACCGGCCACAUUGGGACUGAGAUACGGCCCAGACGCCUACGGGAGGCAGCAGUGGGGAAUAUUGCACAAUGGGCGGAAGCCUGAUGCAGCAACGCCGCGUGCGGGAUGACGGCCUUCGGGUUGUAAACCGCUUUCGCCUGUGACGAAGCGUGAGUGACGGUAAUGGGUUAAGAAGCACCGGCUAACUACGUG
rnacentral:rRNA from 1 species